AUUGACAGAACGUUUACUUAGGCCAGCGUUCUCUGAUUACGCGCUUUUUCCUUUCUUUUCUUUUUCUGUUUUUUUUUCAGUGCGCGGUGAAGUAUCCACCGAAUUCCCUACCUCCGAGUUACAUUACCUAUACUUCUUCUCAGAUAUUCUGGUCGUUUCUCACGUCCUCUCGUGUGUGCCUAGUGCCUGCUGUUCCGUAUCCGCCUUUGCGCCUGAACCGCUGGAGCAGAUAGUUCAUAGAGCUAGCGCUGCGUUGCUGUACCGCACAAAGGGCGUCGGCUCGAGGGUAGCGAUUCCUGUAUGCGCAUUUUGCGAUCACAGCGCCGUUACAGGCCGCUUUGCCUGAAUAUGAUGAGCGGGCGCGCGACAACUUGAGACGUGAGCGCCUCCUCCAGCGCUAGGAUAUGUACCAUGCUGGGUACUGUAUUACGGAUCUGGAUCUGUAUCCAUUGAACGAAUCGAUGCGUGCUAAGCGCACCGCUAACGCUUGGCGCGGUAUCGACGAGGCCUUGAUAUCCAGGUACCGGCGGCAGGCAUCCAGGCGAAGCACGCUACGGGUUCUUUGUGGCUGACGUGCCCGUGUCGCCGCCGCGUGGCGGGUGCAGUGGCGCACUUUGUGCAUAGUCGUCAACAAUUCGGAAAGUUUUGGCGUAAGAAACGUCGCCGGUGCGUACAUGGCUCUGUUCCACAGGGCAGCGAGGCGCUCCGGGAGGCGAGGGCAGCGCGGCUGCAUUUGCGGAAGCAGAGAGACUGAGCUCCCGGCAGCCGGCCUCAUUGUGGGUGCGCGUCCGUGUAGUCUGCUCUGCACCACCGACUUGGACAGGUUCGAAAUCCAGAAUGCGCCUGAAUGUUCAGAUCGUGCGUACUCGUCGUGGUACCAAGUUUGCGAGGCAGCCUCGGGAUCGGCCUGACUGGAAACCAGCCUUCGUUCGCAACCGCGUGACGCUAGCGCGGCAACUGCUGACAACGGAGCGUUUGCCCUCAAAUUACAGGAGCACGCCGGUGUUUGCUGCAACUCGAGAACAAAACAGCAUGUGCUCUGUGGGAGCGCCUUUCCGAGCAAGUCCAAACCAGGUCAGAGUGGAUUUUGCACUUUGGGCAGCUGCGACCACCCCGCAACGCAAGGACAUCACCACCAGAUGGGUGACUUGCCUGCCCAUUGAUCGCGUACCGAACUGGUCCACCGAGCACCGUCCGUCACGGCGUCAGGGAAUGCUCAGCUCGAGUGCCAUUCUGGUUCGUCAGAGCGCAUAGCGUUUUCCUUUACGCAAAUCUCGCGGAGAUAUUCGCAUGCUUGUUCUACGUUUCAGCCAUAUUUCAUGCUAGCGUCUGAGCGAGAGAAACGCUGGGUACGCAUCAUGCUUGAUAUCAUCAUUCUUGUAGCAGGGAUGGUGUCAGCCUACCAGCUCGCAGGGCAUUGGUACGGGUCUUCCAGCAGUGCCUGACGCGCGCCCCAGACAAUCUGGACGCUGCAACGCUCAGGCGGCCUAGAGCGGUGCGCACCAAGCGACAGGAGCACAGAAUAUCUCCGCAGUAUCGCCGAGCAUUUGUUGCUCACCGAUCAAGUCUGUUCUUGGAUGCUGGGCAGACGCAUAUCUAAACGCCCAGGGGCCUUGAUCCUUUUCUGAGUCCUGGUCUACAGAGCGACAAGUCAUCCUGUGAAAAAUCGCCACCAGUGCUGCCAUGGAAGAAAACCGCCGCACCGUGGGCAGCGUUCUAGCUUCGCUGAGUCGGUGGCGACCAAACCCGAGCCCUUGCACGUCGCACAGGAUCGCUGUCGCGCUAUCGCCUUCAGAAACACUACCAGUCCGACGAAGAACGGGACCGUGCUCAACAAAGAGGCAACCCAAAUGACUGGGCUCACUGGCUGUGGUCCCAGUUCACUCAGCAUAUCACUGGGAAGUACCAGCAUGUCAAGAAACGCCACUCGUCGCCUCGCGAACCGGGCGCUCCAGCGCAGCUUGCGUUCACGUCCGAGACCUCGUACGGGGCGUGCCUGAGACCCAGGCCCACUACGACGUGGCACACAGCCUGCGUUCAAGAACAUCGUCUUCGUACCGACUACAGAUAACGUUUAUGAGCAGAGCUUGCUCACACCUGGGCCAAGCCAGACCUCACAAACCCCGUACCUGAACAGCUUGCUAUGAACGCCACCGAAGCAACGCAGAGCACGUUGUUGCCCACGCGAGGGCCUUUCAACCGCCUGCUCCUACGUUUCAGUGUGAACUGGAGCGUGUGCACCCGCCUGCGUCGCCCGAUCGAUGCCUGCGCGAUUCCCGCAUCGUCGUGUCCUUGACAUGCUCCUGAAUUGUUUUCCAAUCCCUAGAUGCGUUUCAUCAAAGGCUGUCUCGCUGGUUAGCGCUGAUGCAUUCAAGGUGUGUUCAUUUGAAGAAAUAAGGAGUGCAAGGGAAAGUUAUGGGCGUGAAAGUCGGGGAUCCUGAAGGGCCGUUAUCGUCCGCUGCCGAAAAAUCCUCUUCUUGCUGACGAUCGAGCGAAGAAGAAGCACAAGCGACGACGACGAAGAAGCAGAAGAAGAGGUGUUGGAUAGGCGAGCCUCUAGUGGCACAGCGAGCACGAGUUCUAAAACUUCUUGCAAUCGUGCGUUCAACCAGUGGCACUGCACGCAAGGAGAUCAAGAACCGAGACCUCAACGCCACCAUCAAUAUCAGACGAUGUGCGGUGCUGAAGGCCAGAUCCGCAGAACUGACGCGAUCCAACUUUGUGGGCAGCCUCCCAGACUACAGGUGCACCUGGGUAAAUCAAAACCGAUAGCAGGCCGCUGGUCAAAACAGGCUGGGAGGCGUCUGCGCCUGGGUAUUCAUUGAACCUACAUGGUUGCGAAACGUUUUCGCUCUAUUGAACAUACAUGAUACCAAGUUGGAGCGAUCAGGGUUCGCGAUGCGGGCGUCCUUGGCCGAAUAUCCCGCAUGUGUAAGCGGCGAUCCAGAUGAAGAAAGGCGGCAUCUAGCGUAGAAGCACGCUGAACGUAUCCAUGUUGUGAUCCGAAGCAUGAUCGGUAACGAGCAUUUGCUGUCGAGGGUGUGCGAGCUUGCACAAACCCUCGAAAACUCGUAAAAUGCGUUUUCAUCACGACACCGGUGAGUUCAGUACACGUAUCGAGCUGGUGGUUUCGCUGCCAACGGUUAAGGUAGCGAAUUCGACCACAGAGAGCGCGGCUUCGUGCACACACGUUUCAUCCAGGAAACGAGCGACUGGGUACGCUCGUGAUCCCACACAUAUGGAGAAUCCGGGGCGCUCGCGUUGAGCACCAGGAGCGAGCCAGCGAUCGCAGCAGCGUGCCCGCAAGCCUCCUGGGCGGACGGGUCGUCGUCCCUCGUGCGCUGCAAUACGAAAACCGAUGGUUAUACUCGUGCAACAUUAUGACAUGUUGCUGCUUGCAAUGAAAAGGUUUUGCGAAUUCUAGACUUGAUCACGGGAAGCUUCUCGCCUGCAUUCAGUGUCAUCCGCGAUAUGCUAGAUCGUCUGGAAAAGUUCAGGAGUCGCAGCAACGACGAGUACACCUCUCGGCACUGGUUAUUUGCGUCCGGAUGCUGGGUCAGUGCAGGGCCUCAAAUACGGAAGUAGCGCACCAUCUGGACACCUUUCCGCUCCAGACCGAGUUUCGCAUAAAAGGCCUCG
rnacentral:misc_RNA from 1 species